rnacentral:rRNA from 1 species
GACGAACGCUGGCGGCGUGCUUAACACAUGCAAGUCGAACGGAAAGGCCCUGCUUUUGUGGGGUGCUCGAGUGGCGAACGUGUGAGUAACACGUGAGUAACCUGCCCUUGACUUUGGGAUAACUUCAGGAAACUGGGGCUAAUACCGGAUAGGAGCUCCUGCUGCAUGGUGGGGGUUGGAAAGUUUCGGCGGUUGGGGUUGGACUCGCGGCUUAUCAGCUUGUUGGUGGGGUAGUGGCUUACCAAGGCUUUGACGGGUAGCCGGCCUGGGAGGGUGACCGGCCACAUUGGGACUGAGAUACGGCCCAGACUCCUACGGGAGGCAGCAGUGGGGAAUAUUGCACAAUGGGCGGAAGCCUGAUGCAGCAACGCCGCGUGCGGGAUGACGGCCUUCGGGUUGUAAACCGCUUUCGCCUGUGACGAAGCGUGAGUGACGGUAAUGGGUAAAGAAGCACCGGCUAACUACGUG